ACGGAAGGCAGCAGUAGGGAAUAUUGCACAAUGGGGGAAACCCUGAUGCAGCGACGCCGCGUGAGUGAUGAAGUAUUUCGGUACGUAAAACUCUAUCAGCAGGGAAGAUAAUGACGGUACCUGACUAAGAAGCCCCGGCUAACUACGUGCCAGCAGCCGCGGUAAUACGUAGGGGGCAAGCGUUAUCCGGAUUUACUGGGUGUAAAGGGAGUGUAGGUGGCCUGGCAAGCCAGAUGUGAAAGCCCGCAGCUCAACUGCGGGACUGCAUUGGAACUGUUAGGCUUGAGUGCAGGAGAGGAAAGUGGAAUUCCUAGUGUAGCGGUGAAAUGCGUAGAUAUUAGGAGGAACACCAGUGGCGAAGGCGGCUUUCUGGACUGUAACUGACACUGAGGCUCGAAAGCGUGGGGAGCAGACAGGAUUAGAUACCCUGGUA
rnacentral:rRNA from 1 species